AACGAACGCUGGCGGCAGGCCUAACACAUGCAAGUCGAGCGGACAUCUUCGGAUGUUAGCGGCGGACGGGCGAGUAACGCGUGGGAACGUGCCCUUUGCUUCGGAAUAGCCUCGGGAAACUGGGAGUAAUACCGGAUGUACCCUUUGGGGGAAAGAUUUAUCGGCAAAGGAUCGGCCCGCGUUGGAUUAGGUAGUUGGUGGGGUAAUGGCCUACCAAGCCGACGAUCCAUAGCUGGUUUGAGAGGAUGAUCAGCCACACUGGGACUGAGACACGGCCCAGACUCCUACGGGAGGCAGCAGUGGGGAAUCUUAGACAAUGGGGGAAACCCUGAUCUAGCCAUGCCGCGUGAGCGAUGAAGGCCUUAGGGUUGUAAAGCUCUUUCACCGGGGAAGAUAAUGACGGUACCCGGAGAAGAAGCCCCGGCUAACUCCGUG
rnacentral:rRNA from 1 species